GGCUAGUUCCCCGGCGGGUGCGGCGGGGCCGGAUCCCGCGUUUGAGUCUCCGUGUUGGUCCUUCUGAAGCGGGGUCACAAGCCGGCUAGAAGGUGGUGACGAAGACGCAUGCUUCCUUAACUUGUGAAGGAAACGGGGAUUGCUUGGCCGGCUUGGCAAGCCCAGUGACAGAAAGUAACCACACAGGAUGGUCGGUCUCAUGAUAAAUUCCUGACUGGGUAGGUCACGGUGGAUAGUCCUGUCCCAGUCCUACAGCUUCCUGAGCAAAGGUCAGUCUUUAAGUGAGCCCUGCCCAUGGUUCUUACGCAGCUAAGAUAACAACUUGGAAAUGUCAGAGUAAUGUUCUCCUUCAGACCUCUGGAAAGCCCGACCUGCAGCACCGGAACACGAGACCACAAAACUCACUGUUAUUUUGUUGCCUGCACACCAUAUCUAUGUACUGUAAUUAUCCUCUACCCACCCAUAGAGAAUGGAAGGAAGGGGAGAGUGGGAGAAGGAGAGAAAAACAUCAAUGAGAGAGAGACACAUCCAUUAGUUACCUCCCACAUGGGGCUGGGGAUGGAACCUACAACUCAGGCUUAGUAUUAAGUGGCAUCAGACAUGGACCUGCUUUCAAUGAGCUUUCACUCAGAUGGGGACACAUCCUGACUACCAGCACCUGUGAUACAGGUGCAUGCAGUGGUCCUGCUCUUGCCGGAGCUCUUCUGCCAUGCGGGCAGCCUGUGGGAGACCAGGAGAAGAGCCCGAGCUGGAGCUGGGUCUGCAUCCAGGCUCAUAGUGCCUUUGAGAGCACUUAAUACAGAGCCUGGACAGAGCAGGUCUCCAAUAACACAUGUUGAAUGCGUGGAUCCAGCUAUACAUGCUUUAAAGACCAACCUGAUGAUGAAGAGUGAUAAAGGAGGACUUCACCUCUAUUUGUGUUUAUUUCUUAAGGUCACUACCUUGAGUUGCUGUUGUAGCCUUUUCAGUGUCUUCACAAGUUCGCUGUUGUUCUUGUUGGCAUGGUCCAGCUGGAUUUCCAUUUCAUUCAGGUCAGUCUCCAUCUUCUUCUUCAGGCGAAGUGCCUCUGCCCGGCCCUUGGCUUCUGCAUCCAGGCUGGUCUGCAAAGACUCAAUGGCCCGCUGGUGGUUCUUCCUACAAGUCCAAGCAGAGAAGGCCUAGCGUACUGGACAAGCACAUUCAGUCUAUGCUAAACCUAGAUAAGAGACUUCUGAGCAUCAACAUGAGUAUAGCAUGUUGGAAGGUGAAAGUUUAUCACAUGUCUUUUGUGAUAUCGAUUCAUUUAACAUAAAAACAGUCCUGCAAGAAAACUGAGGUUCCAGGAUGAUGGAAAACAUACCAAAGGUCAUCCAUUUAGCCCACAAUGAGUUGCAUUCAAACCUAGAUGCUGAGGUCCAGUUUUAUUUAUUAUAAAAUAAGAGUUUUUACUAUACAAGUUAGUUAUAUAUUUAUCUUCAAAGCAAUUCAUUGAUUGUUCUUAAUAUAUAUUAAUUAUGUUGUAAUUAACAUAAAUAUUUCCAAAAAUCCCUCAUAUAAACUGUAUUGAUCUCCUUUUAUAGGAGGGGACUAGAGGAUUAAUUUAAAUGUUAAAAAAAAUAAUUGUUUCAUUGAGGCAAAUAAAUGAUUAGCAUGUAAAGAUCCUGUCCACAUCAUGCUCACCUCUGCUUCACCUCUGAACACCCACUAUGUGCAGGCAUGUUGCUGGAUUUGCAGUACUUUGAGGUGUAUUCAAUUUGCAGAUAUGGGCAAGGAUAUCAUGACAUUCUCAAAAGUGAACAAAAUUGGAACUCAUUUUGGGUUAAAAAUAAAUACAAGCAAAAACAUUGAAAAAAUUAAAGAAGAUCUGAAUAAAUGGAAAAAUAUUUAUGUUUAUGGAUUUAAUAUUGUUAAGGUGGGAUUAAAUGCAAUCUAAUCACAAACAACCACUUAUUUUAUGAUUCCAUUUAUAUGAAAUGUUCAGAAUAGGCAAAUUCAAAAAACCAGAAAGUAGAUUAGUUGUUGCCUAAGGCUGGGGCUGGUGGUGGUGGUGGGGGAGAAAUGGGGUUUGCCUACUAAAGUAAAUGGUAUUUCUUUGGGGGUAUGAUGAAAAUGUUCUUAAAUUGUAGUGAUAGUUGCACAACUAAAAACCAUUGAAUUUUCUCCUUAACAUGGGUAAAUUGUAUGGUAUCUGAAUUAUACCUUAAUAAAGCUGUUGCAUACACACACACACAUUCCAUUUUAGAUUUUACACACACACACACACACACACACACACACACUGGCAUAGCUAGAAAUUUAGCGUGAGGGUCAGGUUUAGCCUACUGGCUAUAGAGUCAUUGGGCUUCUCUUCACAACAUGCUUUCAUAUCUAUAAUUUAAUUUAAUCUUUUCCACAGCUCAGAGAGGUCAUUAGAAAGCUGUCAUCUUCUCAUCUGUUAGUUGGAGAAUUGCAUCUAUCUCACAGGUAGUUUUUUCUAAUUCUUUAUUGUGGCAAAAUAUACAUAAAAUGAAAUUUACUACCUAACCAUUUUUAAGCAUAUAGUUCAGUGGUAUUAAAUACAUUCAUGAUGUUGUGCUACCAUCUAUCUCCAUAACUCUUUUCAUCUUAUAAAAAAAUAUCUAUACCCAUUUCAGUGGUUCUCAACCUUCCUAAUGCCGCGACCCUUUAAUAUAGUUCCUCAUGUUGUGGUGACCCCCGGCCAUAAAUUUAUUUUCGUUGCUACUUCAUAACUGUAAUUUUGCUACUGUUAUGAAUUGUAAUUAAAUAUCUGAUAUGCUAUAUGUGUUUUCCGAUGGUUGCGACCCACAGGUUGAGAACCGUUGCAUUAAAUGAUAACCCCCAUUUCUUCCUUCCCCAUAGCCCCUUGCAAAUACCGUUCUACUUUCUGUCUCUAUAAUUUUGAGUACUCUAAGUACUUCAUAGAAGUAGAAUCAUACAAUAUUUGUCCUUUUAUAACUGGCUUAUUUCACUUAGCAUAAUGUCCUCAAGGUUUAUCUAUGUUUUAUUAUGUGUCAGAAUUCCCUUCCUUUUUAAGGUUAAAUAAUUUCCCAUUGUAUGUAUCUAUCACAUUUUGUUUAUCCAUUUGUCAACAGACAUUUGGAUUAUUUCCAUGUUUUAGCUAUUAAUAAUAAUGCUGCUAUGAAGACAGAUAUACAACUAUCUAUUUUAGACCCUGCUUCAAAUUCUUUUGGGUAUAUAUCCAGAAGUGAAAAUGCUAGAUCAUAUAAUAAUUCUAUUUAAAAUUUUUUGAGGAAUCUCCAAACUGUUUUCCACAGCAGCUGUACCAUUUUACAUUCCCACAACAGUGUAAAAGGGUUCCAAUUUCUCUACAUCAUCAUCAUCACUUGCUAUUUUCUGUUGUUGUUUUUUAUAGUUGCCCUUGUAUUGGGUGUGAGGUAGUAUCUAAUUGUAGUUUUGAUUUGCACUUCCCUAAUAAAUAGUGAUAUUGAGCAUCUUUUCAUGUGUUUAUUGGCCAUUUGUAUAUCUUCUUUGGAGAAAUGUCUAUUCAUGUCUUUUGUCCAUUUUUGAAUUGGAUUAUUAUCUCAUGGGGUUUUGUGAUGAAUCAUUGAAGUAAGACAUUUCAAAGUGUUUGUUACCACAGAGUACCCCAUCUGUAUAAAGUACUACCAUUAUUACCGUUUAACAGAUGUGGAAACUGAGGUUCAGAGAGGUUCAUCUUAUUUGCCCAAGAUCACAUGACUAGUAAGUGGCAGAGACCCAGAUGGGACUCUGCUCCAUCAUGCUAUCCAAGUCAGCCUCCCAUCCUGUCAGCCCCCUACCUCGUAGCUUCAAAUUCUUCCUCUUUCUCAUGAAUUCUCCGGUCGAUGUCAGCCUUAACCUGAGCCAGUUCCAGCUGAAUUCGAAUCACCUUGCUCUCUUCAACCUGCCAGGAAUGUAAAUGUCAGUCUUUCUGGCUAAGCAGGUUUGCGGACCCUGGCCAAGUGUUCCACCCCCAAAGAGACAGCCAUGAGGUUACCUCCA